rnacentral:rRNA from 1 species
UACGUAGGGUCCGAGCGUUGUCCGGAAUUACUGGGCGUAAAGAGCUCGUAGGUGGUCUGCUGCGUUGUUCGUGAAAACUCACAGCUUAACUGUGGGCGUGCGGGCGAUACGGGCAGACUUGAGUACUGCAGGGGAGACUGGAAUUCCUGGUGUAGCGGUGGAAUGCGCAGAUAUCAGGAGGAACACCGGUGGCGAAGGCGGGUCUCUGGACAGUAACUGACGCUGAGGUGCGAAAGCGUGGGGAGCAAACAGG